rnacentral:lncRNA from 1 species
UCAUCAUACAAUGUAUACUGGAAUGGAAACAUCACAUUAUACCCCAUAAAUAUGUACAGUUAUUGAUCAAAAAUAAAUGAAAAAUCAGAAAAGAAAAAGCCAAGGCGUAAAACUUGGUACCAAGUGGAGGGUUUAGAAAACUUCCAGCAUGGGCUGGGGAUGUGGCUCAAGAGGUAGCACGCUCGCCUGGCAUGCGUGCGGCCCGGGUUCGAUCCUCAGCACCACAUACAGAUGAAAGAUGUUGUGUCCGAUAACUAAAAAAAAAAUAUAUAUAUAUAUAUUAAAAAAUUCUCUCUCCUCUCUCUCAAAAAAAAAAAAUAAAUAAAUUCUCCUAAAAAAAAAAAAAAGAAAAAGAAAAAAAAGAAAACUUCCAGCAUUCAACACAACUGCAUUUAUGUUUGCUUGGGCUGAGGUAAAGUAGGCAGUCAGAUGAAAGAAAAUCCUUUGCCUGUUGAUAAAAUUCAGAACUGCAGAGAAGUUGCUUUGCUAAUGGAGAGAAGAUGUUGCUGAUUGCUUUCCUGUUUUGUUUCUGACUGGGGAAAAUAGAAAGAUGUAAAAUUGAUUUCUAAUUGGAAGAAUGGCAGAGAAUAUCGAAUGAGUUCUUGAGUCUUUGUGGAUUGUGUCCUGUAAGUACACAUUACUAGGAUUUGUUACUGUUGUGUCUACUGAUGAAGUAUGUGUGCACAUUUUUCUUUGUUUCUCUUUUGCCAGGGGCAAACAUAGGGCCUUGCUCAUGCUAGGCAGGUGUUGUACCACUGAGCUACAUCUCCAGCUCUCAACUUAUUGAAAGAAUAGGACAAUGAGUAUCUAUGAACCACCACCCAGAUUCUACACUCAUCUAACUGUGUGUUUUGCCAGACCAUUUCAAAGAAUUGAAAAUUUUAUGACUCUUUAUCCCUAAAAUAUUCAGCAUGUAUUUCCUAGUAGAACAAUAAUACCCCAUCAUACCUAAGAAAAUUGACAAUAACUUCUUAAUAUCACUUUCUAUCCAGUCUGUAUUCAAAUUCCCCUAAUUAUCUCAAAAAAUUUUUUUACAGAUUUUUUUUCUCCUAACAGGAUCUAACCACGAUUUAUGUGUUGCCUUUAAGUGUUAUAUGUAUUUAAUUUAUUUUAUUCCAGAAUAAUUUCACACCAUUUUUAAGGGGAAUAUGGGCUUUUUAUUGGUGCAUUGUAAUUACACAUAAUAGGGAAUGUAGACAGUUUAACAGUUUUUAAACUUCUCUGUUAGUCUGAUUGUCUCCUCAUAGUGUCAUUUAUCUUGACACUAUAUUCCUC